UACGAAGGGGGCUAGCGUUGUUCGGAAUUACUGGGCGUAAAGGGCGCGUAGGCGGUGUGUCAAGUCAGGCGUGAAAGCCCCGGGCUCAACCUGGGAACCGCGCUUGAGACUGGCACGCUCGAGUUCGGGAGAGGAUGGUGGAAUUCCCAGUGUAGAGGUGAAAUUCGUAGAUAUUGGGAAGAACACCGGUGGCGAAGGCAGCCAUCUGGACCGACACUGACGCUGAGGCGCGAAAGCGUGGGGAGCAAACAGG
rnacentral:rRNA from 1 species